AAAAAGAACAGACACAUUGCACGUGUAGAAAAAAAUAGGACAAUCUCAGCAAAAAUACCUUUGAUCAUAAAUCUACCCAAUCAGGGCUAACCAUGGGCUGAAUAACAACAAUAACAACAACACUGUAUAUUAUUCUAUAGUACAGUUUAGAUUUCAAAACAUCCAAUGUUUCUACAUCAGCAAUUUAAUGGAUUUGGAAAUCAAACACCAGCACACACACUUUCGAUACCACUUGAAUAUUCUCAAAUUAGUCAUUAAUAGCCUCUAUAAGUACGCCUGCAUAUAUAUAUAGAAAUAUAUAUAUAUAUAUACACACACACACACACACACACACACACGCGUGUGUCCUAUAACUAGGUUACAUAUUAAUGUGUAUAAGUAAAAUAUAUAUAUACAUAUAUAUAUAUAUAUUUGUAUAUAUAUUUUUUUAUAUAUAUAUAUAUGCACACGCCCAUGCAUACACACAGGCACACACACAAACAAACAUACACAUGCAAAUACAAAUAGUUACACGUAAGUGUUAAUCACAAAUAACAGAAGUUUGUACCACACGCAUGACACAUCACACACAUUACAUUCACAUGCUUGUAUGUGAAUCAUUGACUGGAGUCUACUUCUAACAUAAACACAUGGAUAGAAGAAAGAAAAAUAUUCAAGUUCUUGUUGGAAAUAGAAAUGAAGAUGAAAAUAUUUUUAUAAUACACACACAAAAAUACCUAAACCCCCCACCAGACACACACAAACAGACAAACACAAAACACACACACAACUUUGCCUUCAUCUAACAGAAAGCAGAAGUAAAAAAACGUGGUUUGUUAAGCAAUGAAAGGGCAGAUGGAAGAAAGGAAGAAAAAGAAAUGGAAGUGGAAAGACUCCCAUUUACAUACCGGCUCUACCCUAGAAAUGGGUCUGGAUUUUCUUGGGCGACCCCUAUUCUCUGGUUUCAUGAAAUACAUUGAUGCAACAAACAAUCCACAUAUUGCAUCAUGAUAGGAUCGGCUGAGUGUCAUACACUGAAGCUGAGAAUUAAAUAAUGCGGCAUGUUCCAAACAUCCCAGCAGAACGGAAUCACUUUUCUGCUCGCUAGAAACAAAAUAGACGAACAGCGAGGACCAAAAUAUCGGGAAGUUUAGUCGAGGCAAAUAGAGCGAGGAAAAUAAAAAUAAAAUAUGAUAAUAUAUA